GUGUCAGCCGCAGGAAAGGGAAGGGACACGCUGUACUGGACCGGGGUCUGAUGAGUGUGUGGUGUGUUCCAGUCUGAGAGACGCGUCCUCACUGUGUGCCCUCCUGCCCCAGUGGGUGAACGGAGAGAGCGGCAGUUCAUCUUCAAAUACCCCAACAAGGACAGCUACUGUGAGCCCUGCCACGUCAACUGCACACAGGGGUGUUCGGGUCCAGGAUUGAGUGACUGCAUAGACAAACUAGCACUCCACUAG